rnacentral:Y_RNA from 1 species
GGCUGGUCCGAUGGUAGUGGAAACCGAAACUAAUUGCUAAAGGUGUCACAGACAACGCAAUUUCCAUGUUUCAUAUCUCCCCCUCACUGCCGAACUUGACUAGCCUUUU